CUACGGGACGCACCAGUGAGGAAUUUUGCGCAAUGGGGGAAACCCUGACGCAGCAACGCCGCGUGAGCGAAGAAGGCCCUCGGGUCGUAAAGCUCUGUCAAGUGGGAAAAAAGCCUUUUGAUCAAUACCCAAAAGGUUUGAUGGUACCACUGGAGGAAGCACCGGCUAACUCCGUGCCAGCAGCCGCGGUAAUACGGAGGGUGCAAGCGUUGUUCGGAAUUACUGGGCGUAAAGGGCGUGCAGGCGGUUUGGCAAGUCAGAUGUGAAAGCCCUGGGCUUAACCCGGGAAGUGCAUUUGAACUGCCUUUCUUGAGGAUGGGAGAGGAGAGUGGAAUGCCCAGUGUAGAGGUGAAAUUCGUAGAUAUUGGGAGGAACACCCGUGACGAAGGCGACUCUCUGGACCAAUACUGACGCUGAGACGCGAAAGCGUGGGGAGCAAACAGGAUUAGAUACCCUUGUAGUC
rnacentral:rRNA from 1 species